GACGAACGCUGGCGGCGUGCUUAAUACAUGCAAGUCGAACGGAAAGGCCCGGCUCUUGUGGGGUGCUCGAGUGGCGCACGGGUGUGUAACACGUGAGUAACCUGCCCUUGACUUUGGGAUAACUUCAGGAAACUGGGGCUAAUACCGGAUAUGAGCUCCUGAUGCAUGGUGGUGGUUGGAAAGUUUCGGCGGUUGGGGAUGGACUCGCGGCUUAUCAGCUUGUUGGUGGGGUAUUGGCUUACCAAGGCUUUGACGGGUAGCCGGCCUGAGAGGGUGACCGGCCACCUUGGGACUGAGGGACGGCGCAGACUCCUAUGGGAGGCAACGGUGGGGAGUAUUACACAAUGGGCGGGAGCCUGAGACGGCGACGCCCCGUGCGGGAUAACGGCCUUCGAGUUGUAAACCGCUUUCGCCGGAGACGAAGCGGGAGUGACGGUAAUGAGUAAGAAAGCACCGGCUAACUACGUG
rnacentral:rRNA from 1 species